GUCUAUGGCCAUGCUAACCUGAACAAGCCCGAUCCUGUCUGAUCUUGGAAGCUAAGCAAGGUCUGGCCUGGUUAGCACUUGUAUGGGAGACCACCUAGGAAGACUAGGUGCUGUGGGCA
rnacentral:rRNA from 1 species